rnacentral:rRNA from 1 species
GACGAACGCUGGCGGCGUGCAUAACACAUUCAAGUCGAACGGAGUUAGGUGCUUCGGUACUUAACUUAGUGGCGGACGGGUGAGUAACGCGUGAGCAAUCUACCUUCCAGUGAGGGAUAACAACCGGAAACAGUUGCUAAUACCUCAUGAAAUGGCAGCUCUGCAUGGGGCAACCAUCAAAGAUUUAUUGCUGGGAGAUGAGCUUGCGUCCGAUUAGAUAGUUGGUGAGGUAACGGCUCACCAAGUCGACGAUCGGUAGCCGGACUGAGAGGUUGAACGGCCACAUUGGAACUGAGAUACGGUCCAGACUCCUACGGGAGGCAGCAGUGGGGAAUAUUGGGCAAUGGGCGAAAGCCUGACCCAGCGACGCCGCGUGAGGGAAGAAGAUCUUCGGAUUGUAAACCUUAGUCAACAGGAAGAAGAAAGUGACGGUACCUGUGGAGGAAGCCACGGCUAACUACGUG